GCCACCGUAGCUCAGUUGGUAGAGCACCGCUUUUGUAAAGCGACGGUCGUCGGUUCGGAUCCGACCGGUGGCU
rnacentral:tRNA from 2 species